GUCUUGAUAGUAUAACUAUUACUCUGGUCUUGUAAACCCGAAAUGAAGAUUUACCCUCUUCUCAAGACA
rnacentral:tRNA from 1 species